rnacentral:piRNA from 1 species
UGAAAAACUCAGCUGUACUGUAGAAGCCUU